GCCGUCACCUUCCUUCCUCCCACUUCUCCUUCUUUCUCUCUUCUCCCCUUGCGCCACCAGUGAACAGCUAGGCCGCCACCAACCGCUGCACCGUCCCACAGAACACCACCAGCAGCAGCCCCCUUCCCUCCUUCUUCUCCUUUCUCUCCCCUCUCCCUCGCUACUGAGCAGCCGCCACCCCAGGAGCAGUAGCAGCGGGUAGCCUCCCACAACCACCACAAGCAGCACCCGAUCCUCCUCCUCACUCCUACGUACAGCCACAGCAGCAGGCGGUUGUAGUGCGCAUCACAGCAGCAAGCGGCUGCGUGUUUGCUUCCCUACUGGCUCCGCGAGCCCUCCUCCACCACCAACACCUUGAGUCACACCACCACCACAAGAACCACCAACCUCUUGACCCAUUUUCUAGUUUUACCCAUUGUUCCCAGUUUAUAAGAGGAAAGUAGACCCUUAGUUGGGUGAUUUUUGUAACUUGUGGUCGUGCAGUGACGCUCGCAGCCGGAGGAUCAUAGCUUGACAUGACAGGUAUAGGAGCUUCUUUUGCUUUGCAUUGGGGGAAAGAGCGGAGUACGGUCAUAUCAACUGUAUACAAAUUGUCUAAUGCUUAUAGCUUCUAUAUUACUUGUAAAGUUUUCUUUUGGGAUUGUAUAAUUUCCUUUGUAUAGAGUCAUGUGACUCCUUGUAUGAUCUAUAGUUCCGCUGCGUAAUUUUUGGAUGUACAGUAGUGAGAAUACUCCUUUAGUAUCCAUUAGAUCGAUGCGUUACCACUGGAACCACGAUCCUCAUCAGAAUUGAUGAUUUGAGAAGCCGACGAUGAUUCUUUCCGUCGUGACGUAUUCUUGAAGGCAUUAAAGGCCUUAGAUUAUUUUUGUUAUGUUAUCCAUUUAUAUAUUCUUGUCACAUUCUCAGUUUUCAGCAGAGAUGCUGCCGAAAUUUCUACUCACUCACCUUUUUAAUUAAUCCUUAACGUUUAUUUUAAUUAUGUUCCCUUUUCUUUUUAUGUAACACCCGAAUUUCCUCCCUUCCUUCACGAUUUAUGGUUUCGUGUAAGGGGCUGGAAAUUCAGGGGUGUUACAGCCUUGUUUGCUAAGGAUGAACUCAUAAAGAAAAGGGAGUUGAUUAGGUUUUGGAUGGCCCAAGGCUACAUCACAUCAGAAGGUGGAAGAAGCAUGGAAGAUGUUGCUGAGGAUUAUGUAAAACUUCUAACACAGAGGUGCUUCUUUCAGGAUGUAAAGCUAGAAGGAGAUUCUGAUUAUAUUUGGGGAUUUAAGAUGCAUGAUUUGAUGCACGACGUUGCUCAAGAAGUUGUGGAAAGGAGAUCCAGAUGACAGUGCAUAGCAUGAAUGGAGAUCUUGAUAAAAAGAUUCGUUAUCUUAAAAGAAGCAACUCUGCAAAUGUUUUCCGCACCCAAAAAAGUCAACUGCGUUCUUAUGUUGAUGUUAGCUACCUUUUUGAAUAUGCUAAUAAGAUGGACCAGGUUUGUGCGGCUUCAAUAUUAGCUAAUUGGAAAUGUUUGAGGGCUUUAGACUUGAGUCAUUCAAGUAUUAAAAGUCUGCCAGGUUCAAUCGGUAAAUUGCUUCAUUUAAGGUAUCUAAACCUUUCAUUUAAUGAUUUUGAAGUGCUUCAUAGGGCAAUUACAAAUAUAUAUAAUCUUCAGACUUCGUCUGAAUUUAUCUAUUACAAGUCUAUAUAAUAUUAGCUAAUUGGAAAUGUUUCGUGCGUGUUCGUCUUCCAUACAAUAUUUAGUUAUUCGAAGUUGCUCCAAUAUGAAGAGCGUGUUAGAAGGCUUACAACAUCUCUUUGUCUUAGAGACCUUAGUAAUCGAUGAUUGUCCUAAAACUGAAUUUAUAAAGAGAAAUGGAGGAAUGCAUUGGCAAGCCACUUAACAAAUCUCUUCGCAACUUGACACUCGAGAGUCUCCCGCAAAUGGUGAAUCUUCCUGAUUGGAUACAAUACUUAACCAACCUUCAAUCUCUGAAAAUUAAGAAUUGCAAACAACUUGAAUCUCUGCCGAGUUGGAUGUCCAAACUCACUUCUCUCAAGGAACUUCAAAUUCGUGGAUGUUCACCAACAUUGGAGAAAUGAUGCCACCAUUCAAAUGGGUUGGAUUGGCCACACGUUCAACACAUCCCUUCCUUUAUUCGUCAUAUUGAAUACUUGGCGUAACCAAUUGAAGGGACACCAAAGGUAUAACUUAUGAGUUAUGUGGUAAAAUUUUCAUGGUCCAUUCUAAAAUUUUCUAUUUAUUUGUUUAUUGUUUAUGUCAUUUAAUAUGUAGCUUAUCAUUUAUUUUAAAUG